GUAUUCACUUCCCAUCAGCUUGAUUGAUUUGUUAUUGAUUUCUCCAUAUUCUGAGGUCUAAUUGUGCUGUCUUCAGCAAUAGAGGCUUACCAUGGAGCUUUGGUGAAUAACCAGAGAUACUGAGAGGCUCAGAGUCUCAUUUGGAGGAAAGAGCAAGGGAUUUGGGCAGAAAAAUCUCAGUGCUCGCCCUGUAUGUGACUUUUCUCAUCUCCAAGAUGGGGAACAACACGACAGCCACAGAUCCUCUGUAUCUCCCUCUCCACCUAACUUCAUGAUAUGUCUCUCAACAAAUAGUGACAAGAAAAAUAACAAGAAUCUCCAAAGGAAAAUUGAAACAGACA